GUAUAUUAAAGUUGUUGCAGUUAAAAAGCUCGUAGUCGGAUUUUGGCAUCACGCCGCACUGUCUGCCGAUUGGUAAGUACGGUUUGGCGGGUGCUUCCUUCCGGUGCUGCGUUCUGCUCUUAGUUGAGCGGUUCGUUGGUUCCGGUUCUUUUACUUUGAGAAAAUUAGAGUGUUCAAAGCAGGCCUAUGCUCUGAAUAGGUUAGCAUGGAAUAAUAGAAUAGGACUUUGGUUCUAUUUUGUUGGUUUCUAGGACCGAAGUAAUGAUAAAUAGGGACAGUUGGGGGCAUUCAUAUUCCAUUGUCAGAGGUGAAAUUCUUGGAUUAACGGAAGAUGAACUUCUGCGAAAGCAUCUGCCAAGGAUGUUUUCAUUGAUCAAGAACGAAAGUUAGGGGAUCGAAGACGAUCAGAUACCGUCGUAGUCUUAACCAUAAACUAUGCCGACUAGGGAUGUGGAGGCGUUAACUUUGUACGACCCUCCAUGCACCUUAUGAGAAAUCAAAGUCUAUGGGUUCCGGGGGGAGUAUGGUCGCAAGGCUGAAACUUAAAGGAA
rnacentral:rRNA from 1 species